UAUAUAACAAACAUAGCGGUAGCAGUUUUAUUUUAUUUUUAUUUUGAGUAUUUUCUUACAUAAAUGAAAAAAAAAAUGAAUGCGUCUAAAUUUAUGAAAGCUACUGUAUAUAUAAAUAAUUAAUUGCAGAUUCAAUCGUGUUAGGGAUAACUUUGUUGUAUCAACAUGUAAACUAAACAACAAUCAUGAUGUUUCUCAUGACUUGAUUAGAUUGUAUCCAGAACAUCGUUGUCCAUCAGGAAAGCUGGCUGACUACCUUGAUAAUAUGUUAUCCGUUAAUGGAAAUGCUAUUGUUACACAAGUGAUACACAGAGAAGGUUUUGCAGUACGUGUUAAAGAUAUCCAUAAUCGAAUGUAACUCCUUGUAAAAUCAGGUCUGUAUAUUAAGUUUAGUCUUUAAGUAUUACUAUUCCAUUUUCAAUGUUUUAUAUUUAAAAUUGUUUGGAUCAUUAGGUUCAACACUGACUGCAAGGCUGUGAAAUACACUUUCAUUACCAAAUGUUUAUUUCCGGCUCUUAGAAACAGAUGAUCAUCAGUUUUAAGGCUCGUUUUUCCAAACUGAUAGUCAAAGAACAUUAUUCUCCAAAUAUGGAGAAAUGAUUCAGAUGGAUGCCACAUAUAAGAGAAAGACUGUGAUGGUGUUGGACAGCCAAUUGGAUUUGCCAUUAUGACAAGUGAAGAUUAAAUUUACAUUGAUCAGUUUCUGGAAUAUUUUGAAGAAUGCAAUGAUUUAUUACAAACGCAAUGUGUUGCAGAAAUUAUGUAAAUUAUUAUUAUUAUUAUUAUUAUUGUUAUUGUUAUUUUAAACAUAAUGCCAUAAAGAAAUGUUGGGAUAGCGUUAAAAUUCUUAUAUGCUACUUCCAUAUCCUACAUGCCAUUGACCAUCAUAAAUUUAUUACAACUAGAUCAGAAACAAAAUGUUUUCUUUAUACACAAGAGAUGCUAAAUGCCAAAACUGAAUCAGAGUUUGAUUUAGCCAUCAAUAGUUUAAAACAAGUACCAUGUUUUUACAACUAUAAUGUUGAAAGUUGUAUUCCAUAACAGCUUUUGGUCGCAAAUCCAUCCAUCACCUUAGCAAUCAACAAAUAAUUGUAUAGAGAGCUUCCAUUCUACUUUAAAGAAAUUUAUUGCUUCUUCAAGAAUUAACAUUGAUUUAUUAGUGAAAAAUUUACUUGAGAUGUCAUCUGUCAGAUCAAUGGAAUCUGCUCAUCACGAUUUUAAAAAUACAUUGAUGAAUGCUCUCUACAAAUCUUCUCCUUUAGUAGAGAAGUAUUUUAAGAUAUAUGCUAUUCUUUUAAUUUAUUGCAAAAUGAGGUAGAAAUGGCCUAUAAAUGGCCACCAUGGGUACACUGUUAACAAAGUAAUUUCACUCAUUAACUAGUCAUUAAUUUAUACAUUAUGUUUCUUAUU
rnacentral:lncRNA from 1 species